rnacentral:rRNA from 1 species
GACGGAGGAUGCAAGUGUUAUCCGGAAUUACUGGGCGUAAAGCGUGCGCAGGCGGUUAUGUAAGACAGUUGUGAAAUCCCCGGGCUCAACCUGGGAAUUGCAUCUGUGACUGCAUAGCUAGAGUACGGUAGAGGGGGAUGGAAUUCCGCGUGUAGCAGUGAAAUGCGUAGAUAUGCGGAGGAACACCGAUGGCGAAGGCAAUCCCCUGGACCUGUACUGACGCUCAUGCACGAAAGCGUGGGGAGCAAACAGG